UCCCCAACACUUUCCAAGCUCGCUGCGUCCCCAACUAGCUUCUCGAGAUUUUCCCCCGCCUCGUUUUCCCUCUCAUUUUCCCGAGAAAGUUCCUCCUCCUCCACCACUAAUCCCAAAGCCUUUGCGCACGCAUGGCCAUCGUCUCGGUCUCGUGAAGAUUUGACGUCACUUGCCUCCCCGCUUUUCCCCGUGAUUCCCGCUCUCUCUCUCUCUCUCCCUAUCUCUUUCCAGAAAAUUACGUAUACAGACGUGUCGGCAAAGGUGAAGAUAGCAUUCCGCAACUUUCUCUGUGUGCCACAUUCGAUCUUCUUUUCCUCAAUCUCAUCGAAAUCUUUGAAGAGGAAACGUCACGUCACGUCAGGUCUCGUCUGGCCCUUUGCCAACUUGCGAGCGAUGUGCCUUAUCUAUCCACAACAUCGAGGCUCCAUUUCCGCCAUGGGAUCCUCCUCAUGUCCUCAAUACUCUUUCUGUGUUCUCGCCUUCUUCGUUGCAGAUAGGAGUGGCGAUCGGGGUGCAGGAUCGGGAGCGUCGCGGCGGAUGCGAUUCGUUCCUCCUCUCGAUCCGAAGGGACCGAGCUGGCGUUCCGAUUCCGCGCGGUUGAGAUCGGAGAAGAAAUACGCGGGCGAGAGAGGAGAUGGCGCGCGGGAGAGUGAAGCGCAGCGAGAGAGGAAGAGAAUCGGAGGAGGAGGAGGAGGACGAGGAGGAGGACGAGCGGGAGUACGAGGUCGGGGAGGUGAGGGAUCGGAUUAAGUCGUCGAGAGGUAGCCAGUUCAACCUCCUGACCCACGAGCUAGGGCUCGGCGCCGCCGCUAGCCGGAAGUUCAGCCGCGAGACCGUCAUCAACGGCAUCAGGGACCUCUUCAGAGGCCUCGUCAUCCACCCCGACAACAGGUAUUAUCGGGCUUGGAAAAAUUCAUACUUCUGUGGGCUCUCUACUCAUCCUUCUUCACGCCAUUGGAGUUUGGCUUCUUCAGGGGAUUGCCAGAGAAUCUCUUUAUAUUAGACAUUAUUGGACAGGUUGCUUUUCUAUUUGACAUUGUUUUGCAGUUCUUGCUUGCUUACAGAGACACACAGACCUAUCGAAUGGUCUACAAGCGCACUCCUAUUGCUCUACGGUACUUGAAAUCUAGUUUCAUUGUGGACUUUCUAGGUUGCUUGCCUUGGGAUAUCAUAUAUAAGGUUGGUGGAAAGAAAGAAGAAAUCAGAUACCUUCUAUGGAUUAGGUUGAGCCGAGUGCGCAAAGUCACAGAAUUUUUCCAACAUAUGGAGAAGGACAUACGGAUUAACUACAUGUUUACAAGGAUCGUGAAACUUAUUGUUGUGGAACUUUACUGCACACACACGGCUGCCUGCUUUUUUUACUAUCUAGCAACUACACUGCCUUCUUCUGAAGAGGGUUACACUUGGAUUGGAAGCUUGAAGUUGGGUGAUUACAGUUAUUCAAACUUCAGAGAGAUUGAUUUCUGGAAGCGGUACUUAACAUCCUUAUAUUUUGCCAUUGUUACCAUGGCCACAGUUGGCUAUGGAGAAAUACAUGCUGUCAAUUUGAGGGAAAUGAUAUUUAUAAUGGUUUAUGUGUCAUUUGACAUGAUUCUUGGUGCCUACCUGAUUGGUAACAUGACAGCUUUGAUUGUGAAAGGAUCAAAAACUGAGAAAUUCAGGGAUAAAAUGACAGAUCUCAUAAAGUACAUGAACCGGAACAAACUUGGAAGGGAUAUUCGUAAUCAGAUCAAAGGCCAUGUACGUUUGCAGUAUGAGAGUAGCUACACUGAAGCUGCUGUUAUUCAGGAUAUCCCAAUCUCCAUCCGUGCAAAGAUCUCUCAGACAUUGUAUAUGCCAUGCAUAGAGCAGGUCGCUCUUUUCAAUGGAUGCUCAUCUGACUUCAUUAACCAAGUUGUAACUAAGCUCCAUGAAGAAUUUUUUCUCCCAGGAGAAGUGAUAAUGGAGCAAGGAAACGUGGUGGAUCAGCUUUACUUUGUUUGUCAUGGUCACUUGGAGGAGGUUGGCAUAGGAGAGGAUGGAUCUGAAGAAACCAUUUCACUUUUACAACCUAACAGCUCAUUUGGCCAAGUCUCCAUUCUUUGCAACAUUCCUCAGCCUUAUACAGUCCGAGUCUGUGAACUGUGUCGGCUUCUGCGGAUUGAUAAACAGUCUCUGUCGAAUAUCCUCGAGAUUUAUUUCCAUGACGGGAGAAAGAUUUUAAAUAACCUUUUAGAGUUAAGGGAAUCUAAUCUCCGACUCAAGCAAUUGGAGUCAGACAUCUCAUUUCAUAUUGGAAAGCAAGAAGCAGAACUUGCUUUGAGGGUAAAUAGUGCAGCUUUUCAUGGGGACCUCCGUCAGCUAAAAAGUUUAGUCAGAGCGGGGGCGGAUCUCAACAAGACAGAUUAUGAUGGAAGGUCACCCCUGCAUCUUGCAGCAGCGAGAGGCUACGAGGAUAUUGUGUUUUUUCUUGUUCAAGAGGGAGUAGAUGUCAACACAAAAGAUGAUUUCGGGAACACGGCCCUUCUAGAAGCUAUCAAGAAUGGAAAUGAUCGAAUUGCUUCAUUACUUGUUAAAGAAAGCGCAUCUCUAAGGAUAGAUGAUGCCGGUAGUUUUCUUUGUACAGCCGUGGCAAGGGGCGAUUCCGAUUUUCUUAAAAGAAUUUUGGCUAAUGGCAUAGAUCCUAACUCUAAAGAUUAUGACCACCGAACCCCACUUCAUGUAGCUGCCUCAGAAGGGCUAUAUCUGAUGGCAAAGCUGCUUCUAGAAGCAGGGGCUAGUGUUUUCUUGAAGGACAGAUGGGGAAACACACCGCUUGACGAAUGUCGAAAAUGUGGAAACAAAAAUUUGGUUAAGCUGCUGGAAUCUGCAAAAUCCUCUGAAAUGUUAGAGUUUCAGGACAGCUUUCGGGAAACCACAGAUAAGCUGCAUUCAAGAAAAUGUACAGUUUAUCCUUUUCAUCCGUGGGAUCCUCAGGAGCAUAGAAGACAUGGGAUUGUGUUGUGGGUCCCUGAAAAUAUCGAGGAGCUCAUAAGAAAUGCAUCGGGGCAGUUAAAUGUUCCGUCCGCCAAUUGUGUAUUAUCUGAAGAUGCAGGUAAAGUUCUUGAUACGGACAUGAUAAGUGAGGGCCAGAAGCUGUAUUUGAUUACCGAAACGCAGGAAUAAUUUUCACCAGCUAUUAUGUUGAGAAACUAUACACGUUGUUGUAAAUAUUAUUUUGCAUCAUUCGCAUGUGUUUGGGCGCACUCUUCAUGAGUUUCUUGAUGUUUGGUCGAGGGAUUGAUUGAGUGAUCAGGUGAUCCACAUUCCAGUUC